GUUGUAUACUUGUACUUGGAACCCACUCUUUGAAAGCAACACUUGCAAUUAUCACUUGGUUCCCACAAAACCUUAACAUCGUUGGGCACAAAAGCUUAACUUAGAUCAAGUCUAAGUCGCUACACGUGAUUCAGAAGUUACCCUGUAACAGUUUGUUCCAUGUCCGUUUACGCUUUAGUCCCUAAUCUAAUUAUCUUUUUUCACUUUAAUCCUCACCCCCAUUUCCUGCAUGUCCCAAAUUGCCCAGUAAGCUGCUGCCACGUAUGGAGAAGUUCAACUGAUUUUUUUGAUGCACAGAUUUUUUGGCUGCAUUCAAUUCAUUUCGUUACAAAAACCCUUAGUUAGUUAUAUAUUUUAUUCAUCAUUUUCAUUUUAUAAUUUUCUUAAAUAACGUAGACACAUUUAAAUGAUUACUUAUUUAAAAUUAUUAUUUAUCACAUAUGCAAAAACAUUUGCAUUAUUCUUGUAUUUAUACAUUAUAGUUUAUUAUUUAGAUAAAUCAUUAAUAAUUAUCUAAGCUUAAACUAUCUAUAACUAGUCUACAACUUUUAUCUAAGCGUAUAAACUAUUUAUAACUAGUCUACAACUUCAUACACUACUUAAACAUGAUUUUUCAUUAAUUUAAAUAACUAUAUAAAUUAUAUAUAUCGAACUCAAAUUAUAUAAUUUAGCUAGUUGUUAUAUUUAUAUAAUUUUUACAUAAACACUUAUAAAGUAUACUUAUAUAAAUAUUAUUAUUAUUAUAAUUUUAGACAAUACAUAUUUCACUUAAUUAACCAUGAUUUAACUAAUAGAAAACUGCCCUCUCGGGCGACAAAGGAAGAAUUACACACGUAUAGAUGAUACAAAGCACUAUGAUAUAAUACAAGAGAAUUCUAGCUUCCUUCCUCUUUUUUUUUUUGAAAAGAGUUAAUUACACCGUUAGUCCUUGUGGUUUAUGAAAAGUAACAAGAUCGGGUACUAAUAGUUUAAAGUCACACUUUAAGGUUCUACCAUCUCAUUUUGUAACAACCUGAGGGAUUAUUUAUGUAAUUAACUUUAUUUUAAUCAAGGGCCAAUUAUGUAACUACUCUACAAUUAACUUCGGUGACUAUGGAUUUGGGUUUUGGUUAAAGACAAAGAAAGAGACAGUAGAGAUAGAUUUCCAGGCGAGAGAGAAAUCCACCUGAUGCGGUGGUUUUAUAUCUAGAGAGAGAUAUAGUUUGGAUAGAACGAGAUAGCUGGCCCACCGCACCCGGUGGCGGCGUGACUGAGCUACAGAGGAUCACGGCGGCGGCGACACUAAGACUUCCGACGGAGGCGCAGCAGGUGGGAAUGAAGAGAAGAAAGGUGGGUUGUUACAGGAUUCGGUGGAUUUUAGUUUGGAUGACGUGAGCGUUUUGCUUGCGUAUCAGUUGUUUGUUGUUGAGCCCAAUUUUAUUCAUUCGUUGUCUAUGUAAUCUACAUUUGCUGUUGGAGAUAGAAUUGUUGUUGAAAAGGUAGAAAUUCUGGUUGAUUUGGUUAGUUUUGUGCAAUUUGAUGUUUUGUUUUCAUGUUUUCAAUUUAGGGGUGUUGUGAGGUUAUCAUUUGAUCAGCUUUUGGGUUAAUUUGGUAUGGGAUGUCUCAAAUGAAAAGGCAGUGAAAGUAUGCAGCGGCUCAGUGGAAAUUUAAACGACCGGUAUUUGCAACAGAUGAUAUCUCAGUUGUAUGCAUAUUUUUCAACCAUCCAUCAUGUUUAAGUUUUAUUAAGAUACAUUUAUGUUUAAUUAUCUUUAGGUUUUAUUAAAACUCUUAAGAUACAUUGCCCAAAUUUCCCCCUUGAAUGGA